GGUCAGGAUGCUUGGUUUAUACUAGGUUUUGUGCGGUUGAGAGUGAUAGGCAAGGGGACUGAAAAUCCCCGUGUCGGUGGUUCGAUUCCACCCCUGGCCACCA
rnacentral:tRNA from 1 species